AUUGAACGCUGGCGGCAGGCUUAACACAUGCAAGUCGAACGAGUGGCGGACGGGUGAGUAAUGCUUGGGAAUCUGGCUUAUGGAGGGGGAUACCUACGGGAAACUGUAGCUAAUACCGCGUACCAUAGGAUGAGCCCCAGUGGGAUUAGGCAGCUGGUGCGGUAAAGGCUCACCAAGCCGACGAUCUCUAGCUGGUCUGAGAGGAUGACCAGCCACACUGGGACUGAGACACGGCCCAGACUCCUACGGGAGUCAGCAGUGGGGAAGAUGGCGCAAUGGGGGCAACCUGACGCAGCCAUGCCGCGUGAAUGAAGAAGGCAUUCGGGUUGUAAAGUUCUUUCGGUAGCGAGGCGUUAACUACAGAGGAAGCACCGGCUAACUCCGUGCCAGCAGCCGCGGUAAUUC
rnacentral:rRNA from 1 species